UGUUCUUCCUAUGAUUGGAGCAAUGGU
rnacentral:misc_RNA from 1 species